GUGCAUGCAAGCAUGAUUCCGCCUUUAAUUGUUAAUUGCAUGCUUAUUGAUGUUGCUUAAAUGAACAUGUUUUUACAAAAUAAUCCUUCAAGUGGUAUCAGAGCCUAGGUCUAGUAGUUGGUGAAUCCUUUUGGGUUUUGUGGUUCAUAGUUUGUGAUUUAAAAGUUGUAAUUGUUACAAGCUUUAUUCUUGUUUCUUUGAAUGUAAAUUUUGUUAGAAAAAUUUGCCAUCUCAAAUGUUGUAGAUGUAGUUCAUAUGAGCAUGAAUAUUGGAGCUAAAAUUUGGUGCCAUGACUUUUGGGGAAUUUUCGGCCAAAUCCAAAGGGUGGAUUUUUGGGUUCUUGUUUGACUUGUUAAAAGUGUUUUAAAGUGACUUUUGGAACCCCUAUGUACCCUAGUUUGGUUAGAUGUUAUUUCCCUAAAGUUUGAAUGGUUUUGGGUGAAAAAUGUUCAUGGAAAAUUUUGAGUUUUUUCAUGGGUGUUCUUCAUUGUUCUUGACAUUUUUUGCCAAUAACAAAAAGGUUUGUGUUUUGAUUCAAAGUUUUGAUUUAUUUCAUAAAGUCUUUGUUUUGUGCUUUAUCAAAUGUUUUUAAUGUGAUAGAAAUUGUGUAAGGUGAUGGAAAUGGUGAUAGGGUGUGUAAGAAGUACUUCUCUUACACACACAUCACUUGCAUGACUUUUAAGUCACAUACCACUUGCAUGAAUUUAUGUCACAAAUUCCACUUGCAAGGCUUUAUGAAAUUGUUGAAAAAUUUUCCAAAUUUUUGUGGACUUAUCUCCACUCCCUUUCCCUCUCUAAAAACCGGCCCUCCCUCAAUGGGAGUACUUUUGGUUCUUUUAUGCAAUUACAUAAAGUUUUGAUACUUUUGUGUAUUUGCACUUUGGCCCAAAGGUUUAC
rnacentral:lncRNA from 1 species